rnacentral:tRNA from 1 species
GCCUAUUUGGCAGCCGUGGCCUGUUAGCGCUUUAGACUUGUAACCAGAGGGUUGCCGGUUCGAACCCCGACCAGUAGGCA